CAACCAUCAAGCCCCCGGGCUUGUGUUGGGGACCUGCGGCUGCCGCAGGCCCUGAAAACCAGUGGCGGGCUCGCUAGUCACUCCGAGCGUAGUAGUUACAUCUCGCUCAGGGCGUGCUGCGGGUUCCGGCCGUUAAAAGCCUUAUUUACCCAAGG
rnacentral:misc_RNA from 1 species